GACGAACGCUGGCGGCGUGCUUAACACAUGCAAGUCGAACGGAAAGGCCCUGCUUUUGUGGGGUGCUCGAGUGGCGAACGGGUGAGUAACACGUGAGUAACCUGCCCUUGACUUUGGGAUAACUUCAGGAAACUGGGGCUAAUACCGGAUAGGAGCUCCUGCUGCAUGGUGGGGGUUGGAAAGUUUCGGCGGUUGGGGAUGGACUCGCGGCUUAUCAGCUUGUUGGUGGGGUAGUGGCUUACCAAGGCUUUGACGGGUAGCCGGCCUGAGAGGGUGACCGGCCACAUUGGGACUGAGAUAAGGCCCAGACUCCUACGGGAGGCAGCAGUGGGGAAUAUUGCACAAUGGGCGGAAGCCUGAUGCAGCAACGCCGCGUGCGGGAUAACGGCCUUCGGGUUGUAAACCGCUUUCGCCUGUGACGAAGCGUGAGUGACGGUAAUGGGUAAAGAAGCACCGGCUAACUACGUG
rnacentral:rRNA from 1 species